UGCACUUCAUGAGGAGAAAACUGAAGAAUCAGUGAAGGAUCAAGAAGCUACAACAGAUGAAGUAGUUGCCGAAGCUCCUGCAGCGGAAGCAGCUGCCGAAGAGCCAAAGGAAGCGGAGCCUGCGGCGGUGGCAGUCGAGGAACCUGAAGCCUCGGUUGAAGUUGAAACCAAGGAGGUGGUAGAAGAACCAAAGGCUGUUACUGAGGAGCCAGUAGUAGAGGAGACUCCUAAGGAAACAGUGCCAGAACCAGUUGCCGAGGAGAUCAAGGAAACCACUGAACAAACCGUUGAAACCAAAGAAACUACAGAGUCUAGUGAGGCAGCAGCAGAAGCACCCAAAGAAGAAGUUGAGAAGGAAGAAGAAGCAAAACCGGCUGAAGUGGAGGAGAAAGUUGAAACAGAAACUGAUCCAGCAGAGAAGACUGAGUAAAUAAUAAAGCUUUUGUGAUGAAAAUGAGGGUGUCAAUGGAAGAUUGUUUCAAGUGGCUACAGUUUGAUAAGUUUGCAUGUCAAUUCAACUAGUUUUCUUCUAUGUAGGUCAAUAAGGAUGUGGUAAUGUGGCUGAUGGAGGCCCACCGAUAGUAGUCUUGCAAUGGCUAAGUUAACAUGCAUUUGCAUAUGUCAAAGAGUGACAUACUUCAUGUUCCAUUGUGGGGGAAUUUUUAUGGGUCAUCUGUUAUCUGUAAAGGGAUGGGUUUCUUGGGUCCCAAACCACCUUUCUUUGCUUAUGUUUAUUGUUUUGCUUGUAUGGUUAUUAGGAGAGGC
rnacentral:lncRNA from 1 species